AGCUAACGUAAAAUCCUAUACUAACCUGCCGAGGCAGCCCACCUCCUGGCCCAAGGCCACUUACCUCAAUCGGUAACGAGGACCCCCUCGUCUUUCUCUUUCCACGUAGACGGACCACACCAGAUCGAGCAAUGUCGACCUCCCGAGCUCCACGUCGUUGUACCUCGCCAUCCACCGGCCUCCUCUCCUCGCUUAUAAGCUGCACCGCACCCCUCCGAACCCUAGCUUGUGUUCCUCCCCAAAAAGCCGCCGCCACCUCUCUUCUUCUCCAACGAAAAAUCUACCGAGACCAAACACCCCGCUCGCCGUCUGCCUCCACCACCGUCGCCAUGGCCGACGAUGCUCCCACCUGAGCUGGGGAAUCGGUUCCUCUCUCCUUCCUCUACUUCCUGGACGCCGUCAAGGACUCGAAGACGCCAAGUACAGCUCGCCUUCUCCACCAUCUGCUUCAUCUACUCCCGGCCUCUCCUUCGUCCUCGUCGCCGGCAGCCCUCCUCCUCGUCUCCGACCACCCCUGGACACCGACGCUGAGCAGUACGAGCAGGAGUACGAGCACCCCCAGGAGGAUCGUGUCGGUGCUUCUACCUCUGAUCUGACAGGCGAGCCCACCCCUUCACCUAUUUUACUUUUACAUGCUCUUUUGAUCUAUUGCUAUCCUUAUGUUGCGAUUCUGUUGUGUCACGUGUCCUAUCCACCGGUUACCUAUAUGUCCGAGAUACACCUCCUAGCCCUACCUUUUGUUUGUUGUUUGCCAGCUUUGCGAGUCGUAGGCGAGUUUAGGGUUUUUGUUGAUAUCUCGAAAUGUUCGGGAUAUCUUGUUGGGAUGUUGACACAUGUACUACCUUUUCGAAAAUGAAGUGGAUAACUUUUGGUACAACUAAAAUUGCUAAGGGUUAUAAUAUGCAGAGGCAUCUGUGAGCCCCUUUGCGAAAGCAUCGGAACUUUGACUUGCUAAUGUCCCCUAGGACCCGAGUUCUUGUUAUCUGUUUCUAAGACUGAGCGCGCUAACCACUCGUGGGAGGUUUUAUCGGGACCCCCCAUCACCCAUUACCAUUUCUCAAGUCUGUUGAAAAGGGGGCCACAACCUUGGUUUUAUUUGCCUAUGCCAUGUAUGCCAUGCUUUACUUACUGUUGCCUUCGGGUGUUUAUUACUGUUGCCUUCGGGUGUUUACUUCCUGUUGCCUUCGGGUGUUUAUAUUCUCAGAUCUGUACCUCGCGGGACGUUUAGCGAAGCGUGUGGUUCGCACGCCUAGCCGCCGACGCAAACCCUGAGUCCGCAUCGGAGUACGGCCGAACUUCGUUUCGGGUAGCUUAGUCGGGUGGCCCCCCUAGGCAUUCUUGUUGAUUUGGGAACGGUCUUGUUGUGAGACUCCGCACUUGCUAUGCGGGUUCGAGCAUGCGUGUAUGGUAACAUUGGUGCACCCCUGCAGGGUUAAAUCUUUUCGGAAAGCCGUGUCCGCGGUUAUGGAUGACUUGGAGCUGUUUAACUCGAUCAUAGAACAACUUACACCUAAUGUUGUCGCUAAUAAUUUGCUAAUUACUUGUGUAGUAAGUUAGCCCUAUUAUAAUGGAAUGAUAUAAAAUUGUCAACUGUGUGAGUGCCUUGUUAGUACCUCUCUGCUAAGGGGGAUCGCACUGGCUGGGUUGUUGUUUGCAGAGUAUAGAACUGCUAGAUUAUGCGCUCUCUCACCUCCUCUAUUAGACGGAUGUUGUAGCGUGUCUCUAUUGGUUAGUGCUUUGCUGCCGCUAAACUCCACAUAUAGCCGGGCGAAGUUUACACCGCCCACCAGCAAGCAUAGCUGGUCUUGUCUCGCAAGUACGUGCCAACGGUACUUACCCUCGUUUUUCUUCCUCUUUUUCCGAACACGCUUUCGACAAACGAGUACGACGGAUGAUGAGCAGUACGCAGGUGGCUACUUUGUCGAGUUCACGGACGACGACUUCGUUGCGUAGCAUGAUCGUUCCUAAGGCAGCAGCCUGUGGCUUGUUGGUUAUGGGAACACCGCUUGAUUAUCUUCAGGACUCUUAGUCCAAUUUGGAUCUUGUCUGUACCCAGACUAUUUGGCUAUCUUAUGUAUGAUGUAAUGUUGGGACAUGUGUCCUCUGAGUGUCUUUUGGAUCUUGCUCAUUAGAGCGUUGCUAUAUAUAUGAACCUUUUUUCCA